ensembl:lncRNA
CUGUUUCUAAGCUAAAACUUGCUAAGUUUGCUGAGGUUAUGUUUGGUGCUUAAAAAAGAGAGAAAAAAGAGGGGAGAAAAAGGAAGUGUGGUAGAGUGUACAACUGUUUAUUGUUUAUUGUACAACUUUUCUUAGAUUCCAGCAACCUGAGUACAAGAGGGGGUGUUAAGAUAUUCAUUGUAUGUACUCAUGUUGUACAGUGUGUUUAACAGUAUUAUGGUUACUGUGGUUUAACAGAGAGACAGUAUUUUAGUUGUCACCACAAGGAGGCACUGUUUCAUUGUAAGGGCACGUAUGCUGCGUCAUCACGUCCCUAAGAAGGAGAAGUGUUACCUCCGACAAAAAUGGCAUCCAAGAGGAAAGUUUUGCCGCGUAUUCAUGAGGAAUAAAGUUCCCUAAAUGUUAAGGACAUCUUUGCCUCCGUCAUCAUUUUCCUUCGAGUUGAUCGCUGUCGACGCUGCAAUACUCAACAGUUUUGAACAGCUGAUCGGAUCGGCAAAGCGUUUUUCUGGAAUAUUAUGUUUUUGUUGCUGCAAGCGCUUUUUAUGCAGUUUUUGCAAAGCUAUAUGUAGAAGGAAACUGUGAACUAGGACAAGCUGAUGGCAUAAGAUACUUUCCUUCAAGUGUUUGACACAAAGAUGGAAAAUAUGACUGAAUAUGAAGAUUACCUUGACUAUGGCGAAUACACAGAAGCUGUACAAUGCACCAGGGACAAUGACAACAAACUGGGAGCGCUGCUGUCCAUCCUUUACUACUUCAUGUUUACCUUCAGUGUCAUUUGCAACGGGAUAGUCCUCAUCAUCAUCUGUCGCUUAUCACACAUUUGAUUUCCAUGUGUGACGACUGCAAGUGUCCAGAGUGAGGACAGACUGAGGGACCCACUGCUGCACAUCAUCUGUGAGGCUUUGCACCCCUGAUGAUCCACCAGGACAAACUCAGCAGUGUGUGAGGAAGAGGAGGAGGAAGAGCCAGCAGCAGCUGACAGAUGGAGA